rnacentral:misc_RNA from 1 species
CCCUUUCUCUUUCUUUCACUAUUCCCACCUAGGUCCCCGGCUUUGGUUGCUUUACGGAUGUAUUUGCUUUCCCUAGCGUAGCGGAUGGAGACUCACCUAUCCUUCUUUUCUUAGUUUAGUAGAGCNNNNNNNNNNNNCUCAAUUAUAGACUCUACUUGUUUGAUUUGAAAGCUAACCAACCUAUAUUUUAUGUUUAUGGCCCUUAUACCCUUCUAAAUUCUAAAAAUUAGAAAACGAUAUAUAAAUAAAA